CCUACGGGAGGCAGCAGUGAGGAAUAUUGGUCAAUGGACGCAAGUCUGAACCAGCCAUGCCGCGUGCAGGAAGACGGCUCUAUGAGUUGUAAACUGCUUUUGUACGAGGGCAAACGCAGAUACGUGUCUCUGUCUGAAAGUAUCGUACGAAUAAGGAUCGGCUAACUCCGUGCCAGCAGCCGCGGUAAUACGGAGGAUUCAAGCGUUAUCCGGAUUUAUUGGGUUUAAAGGGUGCGUAGGCGGUCGGAUAAGUUAGAGGUGAAAUCCCGGGGCUCAACUUCGGAAUUGCCUCUGAUACUGUUCGGCUAGAGAGUAGGUGCGGUAGGCGGAAUGUAUGGUGUAGCGGUGAAAUGCUUAGAGAUCAUACAGAACACCGAUUGCGAAGGCAGCAUACCAAGCUACUUCUGACGUUGAGGCACGAAAGCGUGGGGAGCAAACAGGAUUAGAUACCCGUGUAGUC
rnacentral:rRNA from 1 species